GGAGAAGAGCCAUAGGUCAGUGAUAGAGCAUCUGCCUUGCAUACAGAAAGUGCCAGGUUCAAACCCUGGCAUCUCCA